AGCUCCAAUAGCGUAUACUAAAGUUGUUGCGGUUAAAAAGCUCGUAGUCUGAGCUCAGUUCCCGGACUGGUUGGGGAAGUCACCGCCCGGUGCUUCUUCGCCAGGCUCCGAACCGUACCUUUGACUAGACUACACAUGCCGGAUUCGCCGGGGUGCUCUUUACCGAGUGUCCCGUGCGGCCGGUCAGUUCACCUUGAAUAAAUGAGAGUGCUCAAAGCAGGCUACUCCCAAAACUUAAGCCCGAAUGUUACUUGCAUGGAAUGAUGUAACAAGACCUCGGUCCCAUGUUGGGUUCUUGGGUCCGAGGUAAUGAUAAGUAGAGACGGACGGGGGCAUCCGUACUACGACGCGAGAGGUGAAAUUCUGUGACCGUCGUAGGACGAACCUCCGCGAAAGCAUU
rnacentral:rRNA from 1 species